rnacentral:lncRNA from 1 species
AAAUCAACCGAAACUCAGAGUCAACUAUUUACAUUGACAACCCACACCACAAUGAUUAAAAUCAAUUAAAACUCAGAGUGAACUUCACUACUACUGAUCUGCAGGAGGGGGAGAAACAAGAUGAUGAUGAUGACGACUAUGGAGCAAUGAAGAGGGCUUAUAAACAUUACACACAAACUUGUAAAAUAAAAGGAAUUACCAUACGGUUUCAACACUCCAUGUGGCUGUUCAAGCUUUCUCUCCUCAAAUGGGUUAUGUAUUCUUCCUUUACCAUUCGCUGUGUUUUUUGUAUCAUUUUAGUUUUUUUUUUUUUUCAUUCUUCAAAACGGGGUGUUUGGAUUGAAUUACAGAGGUUGCUAAGGAAGGAUUUGAUGGGAAUGAAGCUGAAAAUUGGGUUGUAUAAGUCCUUGACAUGCCCAAGGAAAGUGCACAUAAAGUGUUUGUAAAAAUGCACAAGAGAGAACAAGAGGUGAGCAUGAGCAGUAGGGAAGUCAACAUGAGUUUUCACAGGUUUAUCUCCAUGGAAUUGUUAAAGUUUUCUCUUUGAGAUUCCUUUGCUUACUCUGUUUGGAGGUUUAUCAACCCGUAAUUGUGUGUGUGUGAGAGAGAGAGAGUGUGUGUGUGUGUGAACUUUUACCUAAGGUCUUGAGACAAUAAUUGUUAAUAGUUAGCUCUUUAAACGUAUUCAAAAUCAAUCAGAUGCACAUGUACUGCGUACAAAAAUUGCAACAACAAUAGCAGAGGGUACUAGAAGCAAUACAAAAACAGCAUAUCACAACAAGUAGAAAAAUAGUUUAUUCCUUUCUCACUAAAGGUAAUAGCAAUGAAGUAGAACCAUUAUCAGUGGUGCCCAACUCAUUUCACCAAAUGUUUUGGUACGACUAGGGUAAGAAGUUGUUCUUUUGGAAAAUAGAAGUUUCCCUUGUGUUCAUUGUUAAUUCAAUAUGUGAUUUUGACUUGGAUUUGUUUUUUC